UACAGAGGUCUCAAGCGUUGUUCGGAUUCAUUGGGCGUAAAGGGUGCGUAGGCGGCGCGGUAAGUCGGGUGUGAAAUCUCGGAGCUUAACUCCGAAACUGCAUUCGAUACUGCCGUGCUUGAGGACUGGAGAGGAGACUGGAAUUUACGGUGUAGCGGUGAAAUGCGUAGAUAUCGAGAGGAACACCAGUGGCGAAGGCGAGUCUCUGGACAUUUCCUAACGCUGAGGCACGAAAGCCAGGGGAGCAAACGGG
rnacentral:rRNA from 1 species